rnacentral:rRNA from 1 species
GACGAAAGUCUGACGGAGCAACGCCGCGUGAGUGAUGAAGGUUUUCGGAUCGUAAAGCUCUGUUGUUAGGGAAGAACAAGUGCAAGAGUAACUGCUUGCACCUUGACGGUACCUAACCAGAAAGCCACGGCUAACUACGUGCCAGCAGCCGCGGUAAUACGUAGGUGGCAAGCGUUGUCCGGAAUUAUUGGGCGUAAAGGGCUCGCAGGCGGUUUCUUAAGUCUGAUGUGAAAGCCCCCGGCUCAACCGGGGAGGGUCAUUGGAAACUGGGAAACUUGAGUGCAGAAGAGGAGAGUGGAAUUCCACGUGUAGCGGUGAAAUGCGUAGAGAUGUGGAGGAACACCAGUGGCGAAGGCGACUCUCUGGUCUGUAACUGACGCUGAGGAGCGAAAGCGUGGGGAGCGAACAGGAUUAGAUACCCUGGUAGUCCACGCCGUAAACGAUGAGUGCUAAGUGUUAGGGGGUUUCCGCCCCUUAGUGCUGCAGCUAACGCAUUAAGC